rnacentral:rRNA from 1 species
AGUGAACGCUGGCGGUAGGCCUAACACAUGCAAGUCGAACGGCAGCACAGUAAGAGCUUGCUCUUACGGGUGGCGAGUGGCGGACGGGUGAGGAAUACAUCGGAAUCUACUUUUUCGUGGGGGAUAACGGAGGGAAACUUACGCUAAUACCGCAUACGACCAACGGGUGAAAGCAGUGGAUCUUCGGACCUUGCGCGAUUGAAUUAGCCGAUGUCGGAUUAGCUAGUUGGCGGGGUAAAGGCCCACCAAGGCAACGAUCCGUAGCUGGUCUGAGAGGAUGAUCAGCCACACUGGAACUGAGACACGGUCCAGACUCCUACGGGAGGCAGCAGUAGGGAAUAUUGGACAAUGGGCGAAAGCCUGAUGCAGCCAUGCCGCGUGGGUGAAGAAGGCCUUCGGGUUGUAAAGCCCUUUUAUUGGGAAAGAAAAGCAGUAGGUUAAUACCCCGCUGUUUUGACGGUACCCAAAGAAUAAGCACCGGCUAACUUCGUG